UACGUAGGGGGCGAGCGUUAUCCGGAAUUACUGGGCGUAAAGGGUGCGUAGGCGGCCUAUAAAGUCCGGGGUGAAAGGCUACGGCUUAACCGUAGUAAGCCUUGGAAACUUAUGGGCUUGAGUGCAGGAGAGGAGAGUGGAAUUCCUAGUGUAGCGGUGAAAUGCGUAGAGAUUAGGAGGAACACCAGUGGCGAAGGCGACUCUCUGGACUGUAACUGACGAUGAGGCACGAAAGAGUGGGGAGCGAACAGG
rnacentral:rRNA from 1 species